AGCGAACGCUGGCGGCAGGCCUAACACAUGCAAGUCGAACGAACCCUUCGGGGUUAGUGGCGGACGGGUGAGUAACACGUGGGAACGUGCCUUUAGGUUCGGAAUAACUCAGGGAAACUUGUGCUAAUACCGAAUGUGCCCUUCGGGGGAAAGAUUUAUCGCCUUUAGAGCGGCCCGCGUCUGAUUAGCUAGUUGGUGAGGUAAUGGCUCACCAAGGCUACGAUCAGUAGCUGGUCUGAGAGGAUGACGAGCCACAUUGGGACUGAGACACGGCCCAAACUCCUACGGGAGGCAGCAGUGGGGAAUCUUGCGCAAUGGGCGAAAGCCUGACGCAGCCAUGCCGCGUGGAUGAUGAAGGUCGUAGGAUUGUAAAAUCCUUUCACCGGUGAAGAUAAUGACUGUAGCCGGAGAAGAAGCCCCGGCUAACUUCGUGCCAGCCGCCGCCGUAAAAC
rnacentral:rRNA from 1 species